rnacentral:misc_RNA from 1 species
GAUGAAAGAACGCAGCGAAAUGCGAUAAGUAAUGUGAAUUGCAGAAUUCAGUGAAUCAUCGAAUCUUUGAACGCACAUUGCGCCCCCUGGUAUUCCGGGGGGCAUGCCUGUCCGAGCGUCAUUACAACCCUCAAGCUCAGCUUGGUAUUGGGCCCCGCCGCUCCGGCGGGCCCUAAAGUCAGUGGCGGUGCCGUCCGGCUCCGAGCGUAGUAAUUCUUCUCGCUCUGGAGGUCCGGUCGUGUGCUCGCCAGCAACCCCCAAUUUUUUUCAGGUUGACCUCGGAUCAGGUAGGGAUACCCGCUGAACUUAAGCAUAUCAAUAAGCGGAGGA